CAAAGGCAAAGGGGCAGGAAGAGGAGCGGGGAGAGGGGCAGGGGCAUACGGCAGAGGAGCGGGUCCUUGAGCAACAGCCAAAGGAGCAGGUCCGUGAGCAGCAGCCAAAGGAACGGGUCCGUGAGCAAGAGCUAAAGGAGCGGGUCCUUGAGCAUAAGCCAGGGGAGCAAUAGCAGGAACGGGGAGACCGGCAGCGGCAACAGGGUCGACAAAACCAUCUUGAUCAAGAUCCUCUGAGAAUCCCUCGAGGUCAAGGGAAGCGUAUCCUCUGGGAGUCAGAACGAGAUCACCAAAAGCGGGAGUUAAAGGACCCACUUGAGGUCCUUCGUUCACGAUGGAUCUGAGGAGUGGAGCGGGUCCGGAAAGCUGUCCAUUGGGCAAAACCACUUGGGGAUCGGCCAAAGCUGCAGCGAAGCAAAGGGACACGGCGAGCUGCAAUAAAGGAAAAAGAUGGUAAUGCUGGAAGAUGUCUUUGUCGCGUAACCAACUGACGCGCGUCAGUCUUACAGAGUGCAUGAUGCCAGGCCCACUUGGUACAGAUUGAUAUACGCAUCCAUACCGUGGUUGCGUCAACUCGGAGCGAACAAACGG